rnacentral:rRNA from 1 species
CGUACACUCCUGCGGGAGGCAGCAGUGGGGAAUAUUGGACAAUGGGCGCAAGCCUGAUCCAGCCAUGCCGCGUGAGUGAUGAAGGCCCUAGGGUUGUAAAGCUCUUUCACCGGUGAAGAUAAUGACGGUAACCGGAGAAGAAGCCCCGGCUAACUUCGUGCCAGCAGCCGCGGUAAUACGAAGGGGGCUAGCGUUGUUCGGAUUUACUGGGCGUAAAGCGCACGUAGGCGGACUAUUAAGUCAGGGGUGAAAUCCCGGGGCUCAACCCCGGAACUGCCUUUGAUACUGGUAGUCUUGAGUUCGAGAGAGGUGAGUGGAAUUCCGAGUGUAGAGGUGAAAUUCGUAGAUAUUCGGAGGAACACCAGUGGCGAAGGCGGCUCACUGGCUCGAUACUGACGCUGAGGUGCGAAAGCGUGGGGAGCAAACAGGAUUAGAUACCCUAGUAGUCCCAUGAU